rnacentral:tRNA from 1 species
GAAGGUAUACCACUCAGUGGUAGAGUAUAUGCUUAAUAUGCACAAGGUCCUGGGUUUAAACCCCAGUACCUCCA